UUCAGUCAACUUUGGGUUUCCGUACGUGCAAUUUAUCCCGGACCGAUGACGGAUCACACGUACCUCGAAAGCGGGCCACAAACUAACCCAAAUCCCUGUUGGAUAGUCCCCAUCUACUGAGAACACUAGACCCAAGUGAAUUGAAUAAAGUGCUGCGAAAUAAAUCACUCCAACUAAUUAGGAGAUCUAAAAAGGAUAUAUACAUAUAUACCAUGAAAUCGGACGCUUGCCAUUGAUAUUGUCCUGUCACAGCAGUAUUGUAACACUAUAUUAUAGUUUACUGCUGGGUCGGGGCAUUAACAUUGUUGAGCGUCAUUAGCAACGAGCGGCGGACAGGAAAACCUGAGAAAAACGCACGAAAGCGUUCUAUUCCGGCUUUGUGGAAAACAUACACACAUACAUGCACGCACGCAGGAGCUCGUCCAUUGCGAUUGUGUGUGUAUAUGAGCGACCGGAAAAAUCAAUUUUCCAUUUUUAAUUCAAAGCUCACACAGCACAGGACACUCGCACACACACGCACACAACGCACGUGCAUGUAUAUAUGAAAUGUACUUAUAUAUACGUGUAUGUGUGUGUAUCGGGCCAAAAAGGGAUAAGCAGGAUGCUGCAGAUUCUGCAGGACAAGCGAGAGGGACUGAGCGUGAGAAAGGGACAGCAGCAUCCAGAGAGAGAGAGAGCUAAGAGAGAGAUUCCGCAUACAGGGAUAAAUCCCAUUUUAUGUAGACAAAAGCUGACAAAUUAAUCAAAAUCAGUUAAAAAAUUAAACAAAAUUAUAGUUAUUAACCUUGGAAGUAGAGAGUUUGUUGGGACUUUUAGGGACUUCCGACUACUAUUUGUAUACAAGGCAUUUUGAAUAGAAGGCCAAAAAAUAAGCAACGACCACUCCCUGAUUUUUCGUGGAGUUUCUGGGUGGGCUUAAGAAAGGCAUUACGGGGGGUGCAGAGGCGUAGCAUCCGUUUUUUCCGCCCAGAAAAUUGUUGCCAACCCGAAAGGCCGAAAAAGUUCAGAGAAAUGUCCAAAAAGUUGCACCAGAAUCAGCAGAGCAAAAUUCGAGCAUCCGAGCAUCUUCAUCAACAACCCCUAAAUAUAAUCCAAAUGCAAUGCAUUAUCUGGGCAAAAGGGGCCGGCAUAAGGAUACCAAACCAAACAACAAAAUCCAAAAGGAUGACAAAGAACGAUGAUGAAUUGGGAGAUUGAGGGCAGGGCAGGGCAGAGCAGGGACAGCUGAAAAAUGGCAUUUAAGUGCAGUUCGGCUCGAAAGGUCCUGGGGGGCACCUGGGAAUCUCUCGCUAGGGGUGGCUGCUCUCUCUUUCUCUCGAAAAUCUCACGUUUCUGCAGUUUGCUGAUUAUGAUGAUGAUGGCCUAGCUAUAUGGAACUCAAUCCAUAAAGAGGGGGUGAGAUUCGAAACUUGCCGGCGUGCUAUGCACAUGCUGUUGCUAUUUCAUCAUUGCCGUUUUGGGCUUAUGCCCCUGUCAGCGAGGAUCAAAGCAGUUUUGGGCGUUUCUCGGCAGCUGUGCGUCUGUAUGCGUGUGUAUCUGUGUCCUGUGCCCUGUGUCCUUUGCCUAAAUACUUCGAAAUUGGCCAAGCGUUUGUUGUGCACAUUAAAUUGACAACGCUUAGCUGUGCUUGAGGUAGCCAAACUGUUUCUACAUGCGAAAAGGGUUCUCAAAUCAUCCUGUGCAUCCUUGUGCCAUGAUUAAGGAUUAAGGGUUGCUGCAUUUAAUAUGCAACGACGGAUGUGAAGUGCUUUUGUUUGAAGCGAAAAUGUCACAGUUGACAUGCAAGCCAUGAGUUGGAAUACUUAAUUCGCAGAGGAUUACUCAUCUACAUUUUACAGCAUUUCGAAGGGAUUAUCUGCAUGUUGCAUAAUGGCUUCAUAUUAAACAUGUUUAUUUUUAUCCAAAUACACAGGAUUCUCAUAGGAAGAGCACUUGAUUAAGGACGAUGUCAUUUUACCUAAAUAAACUUGUCAAUGAGUUCAUUAAUUUUUAGUCAUAAAUCCUUUCUAUGUUGCCUGACAACCUAUAUAUUUAGAGAACCCUCCAUUAGCCCCUUUAAAUAAUUAAUUGUCAAAAUAAAACAAAAAAAAAAAGAGGAACCAGUUUCAGACACAAAAAACAAUAAACGGAAGCUGGCGAUAAAAAGUGCGGAAAUUACGUUGACCUAAAAAUAAAAUUGCCAACCAAGUUUGCCGGCAUUGCCACCUAGACAAACACAUAGAAGGGUACAAGAGAAAAAGAGAGAGAGAGGGAAGGGUACGGAGAGAGAGACGGCAGGAUACGCACUUGCACUCAUGCACCUCAAAAAACAUGAAAAGGUAAACGCUCAACUCACACAAACGCACAUGACAUCAAAAGAACCGGCAGUGGAUUCGUCAGGGAUAAGAAGGAUAUAUAUGUGGACAAGGGUCCUUUCGAGGCUGGCUGUGCACGUAAAUGCGUGGAAGAGCUGAAGAAGCGAAGGGUUAAGGUAAGUGGUUCCCAGUAACCACCGACGACGACACGUCCUCCACCCACAGCCAUAUGCAAAUUGUCGGUGCUUUUGUGAGCUUAUUAAGUGCUUGAAAGUGCAUUACAAAAAAUAUACGCCCACACGCAGUGCAGAGGAGGGGAUGAACGUUGGACGGGAGGAAUGGGGGAUCAAGGACCUGCGGCCGGAAAAAUGCUUUCAAGUCAACCCACUCGGAAAUGAGAACCCGGCAACGGUUGCUCCCUUUUCUCGCUCUCUUACGCCGAAU
ensembl:ncRNA lncRNA:CR45910 long non-coding RNA:CR45910